UACGGGGGGGGCAAGCGUUGUUCGGAAUUACUGGGCGUAAAGGGCUCGUAGGCGGCCAACUAAGUCAGACGUGAAAUCCCUCAGCUUAACUGGGGAACUGCGUCUGAUACUGGAUGGCUUGAGUUUGGGAGAGGGAUGCGGAAUUCCUGGUGUAGCGGUGAAAUGCGCAGAUAUCAGGAAGAACACCCGUGGCUAAGGCGGCUCUCUAGUACGGUACUGACGCUGAGACGCGAAAGCGUGGGGGAGCAAACAGG
rnacentral:rRNA from 1 species